rnacentral:tRNA from 1 species
UUAAAGAAGGCAAUUUCUGAGUAAGUAAGACUGUAAAUUUUAUUGUGCUCAGGCUGUAAGG